CACGUAGGGGGCAAGCGUUGUCCGGAUUUAUUGGGCGUAAAGAGCUCGUAGGCGGCUCACUAAGUCGGGUGUGAAAUUUCGAGGCUCAACCUCGAAACGCCACCCGAUACUGGUGUGGCUAGAGUCCGGUAGGGGAGCGUGGAAUUCCUGGUGUAGCGGUGAAAUGCGCAGAUAUCAGGAGGAACACCAGCGGCGAAGGCGGCGCUCUUGGCCGGUACUGACGCUGAGGAGCGAAAGCGUGGGGAUCAAACAGG
rnacentral:rRNA from 1 species